UACGGAGGGGGCGAGCGUUACCCGGAUUUACUGGGUGUAAAGGGCGUGUAGGCGGUCUCUCAAGUCCGAUGCUAAAGACCAAGGCUCAACCUCGGGAGUGCGUUGGAUACUGUGAGGCUAGACGGUCGGAGAGGGUAGCGGAAUUUCCGGAGUAGCGGUGAAAUGCGCAGAUACCGGAAGGAACGCCAAUAGCGAAAGCAGCUACCUGGACGAUUUGUGACGCUGAGGCGCGAAAGCGUGGGGAGCAAUCCGG
rnacentral:rRNA from 1 species